rnacentral:tRNA from 1 species
UCCCUGGUGAUCCAAUGGUUAGGAUUCCGAGCUCUCACUACUGAGGGCCCAGGGUUCAAUCCCUUGUCAGGGAA